rnacentral:rRNA from 1 species
AAUAGAUACCCGGGUAGUCCACGCCGUAAACGAUGAGUGCUAAGUGUUAGGGGUUCCGCCCCUUAGUGCCGCAGCUAACGCAUUAAGCACUCCGCCUGGGGAGUACGGUCGCAAGACUGAAACUCAAAGGAAUUGACGGGGGCCCGCACAAGCGGUGGAGCAUGUGGUUUAAUUCGAAGCAACGCGAAGAACCUUACCAGGUCUUGACAUCCCAUUGACCACUAUGGAGACAUAGUUUUCCCUUCGGGGACAACGGUGACAGGUGGUGCAUGGUUGUCGUCAGCUCGUGUCGUGAGAUGUUGGGUUAAGUCCCGCAACGAGCGCAACCCUUGUUCUUAGUUGCCAUCAUUUAGUUGGGCACUCUAAGGAGACUGCCGGUGACAAACCGGAGGAAGGUGGGGAUGACGUCAAAUCAUCAUGCCCCUUAUGACCUGGGCUACACACGUGCUACAAUGGACGGUACAAACGGUUGCCAACCCGCGAGGGGAGCUAAUCCGAUAAAACCGUUCUCAGUUCGGAUUGUAGGCUGCAACUCGCCUACAUGAAGCCGG